rnacentral:rRNA from 1 species
UACGGAGAGUGCAAGCAUUAAUCGGAAUUAUUGGGCGUAAAGGGCGCGUAGGCGGCCUGUUAAGUCGAACGUGAAAUCCCCGGGCUCAACCCGGGAACUGCGUCCGAUACUGGCAGGCUUGAAUCCGGGAGAGGGAUGUGGAAUUCCAGGUGUAGCGGUGAAAUGCGUAGAUAUCUGGAGGAACACCGGUGGCGAAGGCGGCGUCCUGGACCAACACUGACACUGAUGAGCGAAAGCCAGGGGAGCAAACGGG